GAUGAAGAACGCAGCGAAAUGCGAUAAGUAGUGUGAAUUGCAGAAUUCAGUGAAUCAUCGAAUCUUUGAACGCACAUUGCGCCCUUUGGUAUUCCUUAGGGCAUGCCUGUUCGAGCGUCAUUUAAACCUUCAAGCUAAGCUUGGUGUUGGGUGACUGUCCGCUUCACUGCGGACUCGCCUCAAAAUUAUUGGCGGCCGGUACAUUGGCUUCGAGCGCAGCAGAAACGCGAACUCGGGCCCGUCGUAUUGGCUCCCAGAAGCUAUCUUCACAAUUUUGACCUCGGAUCAGGUAGGGAUACCCACUGAACUUAAGCAUAUCAAUAAGCGGAGGA
rnacentral:misc_RNA from 1 species